AAGAAUUUAGAGAGAGAGAAAGGGCCAUAGCGGCCCACGAAAGACAAACCAGGAUAGAGAGGUAAGUUGAUCGUUAUUAAAUAGCGUAACUUUAGAUUUUUCUCUCUUGAAAGCAUCCUUUGUGUUUCUAGCAUCGGGUGAGACUUUGGAAGUCUUUGUAAAUAAAGUGUGAUAGAUGACUUCGUAUAUAUAAGAUCAGUGGAUAAGGUUAUUGUUACACUUAAAAACUGCCCUUUGGCUCAUUGUUCGCUUGCCAAAGUUCGAUAACGAAAACACUAUCGUCAAUAGUUUCGAGCUGUUUACAACAUAAAGAAAAAUGCCCAACAAAUAAUUUCUAAUAGGCUCUAACAAUACCGCCUAGUUUAAUUUUCAUUAUAUUCUCGUCCGUUCUCCGAAGAAUUACCUAACCAUUCUAACUACUAUUUAAUCGCAAUUAGUCAAAAAUUCGAUAAAAAUCUGAAAAAUGACAGGAUUUAGUGUCGAAAUCUUUCAAAUAUUCCGAAUAUCGCGAGGAUAUUCAACUAACAAACAUCGGAUUUUCCAGUGGAUUGAUAUGUUUAAUUAUAUUGGCUAAAAUAAAUCCAUUUAUCGACAUAAAGCCGCUGUUAACAGCUAAAUGCUCGAAAGUUCCGAAAGCUCAAAGGUGGAUCUUCAUCCAGAUUAUCUAAUUGUGAAAUUUAGGCGAAAUUCUUCCAUCCGUAACAUAAAUUCACUCUUGGUUCGUCAUGGUGACGUAACUUUAUGCUCUUGUACAUUAUCGGGUCAGAGAUUUGUGUAUAGAUUCGCCCUUCCUUAUUUCAGCAUGUUUCUAAAUUAUAUUUGAUGGCGUUGCGAAACUGUUUGAAUACAGAUAAUUCUGUAAUCUUUCUCCGUUAUCUCGGUCCGAAGUGCGAGUGUCGGACAUCUGGAAGGUUACCACUCUAUUUUCAAGUGGUGAGUCAUUGCCGCUCUAGAUGGACGCUUAAUUACCAUAAGUAGCAUUAAACUUGAUAAAUGAACUUUACUCCCGUCGUAAAUCACAGGUUGUCGACCUUAUAUAGAUUUUUUUGCUGUUUUUUUUUUCAUUUCGAUGGUAGACAUGAGCGUUUAGAAAUUGGAAAGCGAAAAGUCGAAAACAUCAAUCAAGAAAAGGGCAUCCUGCUAGGCGACAUUACAGUGUCAUUGGUUAGCUCAGCACGACCUGCCACUGUCCUCCAAGAAAUUCUAUUUCGAUAAAUAAAGGAAGGCUUUUGUUUGGAAGAAGCGCUGUUUUUCCUCUUCAAUGCCAACUCGUUAAAGCAAACAGACACCCGAAACACACUUGGACAAUGCUUCGUUAGGGGAUCUUGUCAUAGGCACAAUGGACAGUCGACCAGAGCAAAGACAGGAACAGAUACCAAAUAGUUUACCAGUUUGGCAAAAGAUGAAAAGAUGGAGAUGUGGUCUUUUAAUUAGGCAAAAUCCGAAAUGAAUAAAAAUUAGUGCGGAAAAAAAAAUUCUAAGAAUCCUAUAACUAAAAACAAAAUAGUAACACGGAACACCGUACUAAAAUGCCCCAUCACUGCAAUAAGAAAACUGCGAAAGAACCUAUAAACAGGUGAUGAAAACAUGAAUAAAAAACGCGACGAAGCAAAAAACUAAACAAUGCAAUAAGCAUAGCGGCGUAGAAGAUUCACACAACUGCCAACCAAUUAUCCGUUCUUCUGAGAAAGGUCAUUUCGCCAUCGAGUUGAUAAAGACAUCCUCCCGUUUGCCAAGAGCUACACACAACACACACACACAUACCAUUUUUUCCUUCUGUCGUAACUGGUUAUUCAGUAGUUAUUUUUAAGAGAUCGAAACUCGUUUUAAUGAUUUUAAUAGUCGCAACACUCACUGUACUGUCCCGGUUGUCCACUGGUUAAAGAAUUUUUCCCGGUUGAAAACCGGUUGUAACGCCGUGUUUCUGUUUCCCCCGUGUUUCUAACCUCUGAACCUCUCUCUCCCCCUCAUUCUCCUCUUCCAGCAGCAUUCGAGAUAAAUAAGAAUCAUUAAAAUUAAACGGCGAUAUUUCGUGACAUUGAUAACGAGAAUUGUUUAAGAUAUUAAGUGACUCAGCAGGAAGGAAAGAAAAAAAAAAAAAAACACGAGAAUGACAGUAAUAAAAAUCGAACAGGAAAGUCGUUUUUUUUUUAUAAAGAAUUAAACCUAAUUCUGUAAUAUCCUACAUUAUUAUUUUUUUCUUGUUACUAUACGCAUAACUACCAUAACAUCGUGUUGCAGUAUCGUCCUUGCAAUCUCUUAAAACUUUGAUAUUCCUCUUGCUAGGUUUUGGCCGUGCGGGAUCAAAAUUCAUUAUUGAACAUGCGUUUGUGCUUAGCUCUCGGCAGUGGUUAGAAACGAAAUAAAUUAUAAAUUCGAAAGUUAUUCCGUAAUCAUAUUUUAGAGAGCACUGAACACAAUUAAAACCCUCGUUUAUCUCUAGAAAAGCAUAAAAUUUGGUUGUAAUCACUCAAACUCGCUGCACACAGAAACAAAAUUGCUGUAGUGUAUAGUAAUCCCAUUUUGCGGCUCUAUUCUCGUUUGAAAUUCCGUUAAUAAGCAAAUUUACGGACUGCAAACAUUUUCGAAUGCACUAAAAGAGGAGGAUUUUUAGAACCGAAAGCGAUAGAAAACUAUGAUAAGUCAGUCGCUCUUAUACCGUGUUAAAUACCAGACUAUCAUUAGCGUGGGAUCGAUACGAUGUCAAAAUUGCUUAUAGUGGAUAUAUAGGACCGUUUGCUUCGUCAGCUUUUGUCUCGAGGUAGUCGUUUUAUAACAGGAAAUAUCUCCCAACUACUUUCAGUUAACCGGAGACGUUUGCCAGUUUUCUUAACGACCCUCUUGCGAAAGAACAAGUCCACCGUUUGCCAUCCAAGUUUGAUGACACAGCCGAAAGAAAAUUGGCACGCCCGAGACGAAAAUAACAUUCGGUCGACAGGAAUUUUGGCAGGUAUCGUCCUCUCUACCAGCUCGAAAUUUUUGUAUUAUACCGGACAAAAGAAAAACUGAUCGAAAUCGGUCAUUGUCGCAUUUCCAACUAAACUCUUCCUCCCAUCUGGCAUUCUGCCCAAAUCUCAUUCUAGCCGGCAUCUUUGUUCUAAAAAGAAAAAAUGGUUUUUGUUGUAAUUGUCGUCACGAAAAUAAAAUCGAAGAAGAAUUUACAACUUAUACCGUGUUACACCCUUGUUUAUAUAUAUUAAUAAUUUUUGUUUCUUUACUACUACUGUGCAUAGAUUAACUUGUUGAACUCAAUAAAAAAAAAAAAAACCCUCCAAAAAACAAGAGAGCACUGAGCUCCUCACUUUUAUUAAGUUGAUUUGAUUACAUUAUCUUAUAAAAUGAUAAGAACCUAGGUAUUAUAGUUAAAAUAUUAUCAUAAAGUAUAUCUAGAAUUCUUUGUUCUGCCACUCUUCAAUAAAAACAAAGGAGUUUGCUCAAUUAAGCCAAUUCUGUUAUCAGUAGAAAAAGAAAAAAAAAGAAGAAUAUGUCUAGAAAUUAAGCAAGAGAUAUAAUUUGGCCUCAAAAUUCUUAUAACAAAUUUAGAAAUACAGUAUGUAGUCGGUAUUAGGUUACUUUUUUCCUUAAUGAUAAAAUGAAACCUAUCAGCUUAAAAAUAUAAAAACCGAUAAGAUAACAACAGAUGAAAUAACAUAAAGAUCUGCAUUGGAUCCUCUAAAUAUAAAAUUAAAAACAGAAUGUACUGGAUUAUUAUGUAUUCGCCAAAUUUAUCCGUUAAGAAAAACGAAACGUUCGAC
rnacentral:lncRNA from 1 species